AUUUCCGGUCCCCUCCCCCACUUUAGGAAUUCGAAACUGACACAGAUUCAACAAAUAGGAUCUUCUCACCAACAUGACAAUCAAAAACGGGGCUUACCGGUCGAUGGUUUCUUCCGCGCAACUCCGAGACAGGCUCAAGAUAAAACAACUCCGGUUAUUUUUCUGCUUAACGCAUGGCGUGACAAGAUGAUAGCAGACCGGAUGUCAACGCUGUUCUGCAACUGUUGCGACUGGAGAGACGUUUUGAGGAUCAAGAAAGUGGUAGCUUUUUAGACCCGCCCUCCACACAACAGCCAAUACCUCCCCCCUUCAAUGUUAACCACACCCCUUCUCAGUAUAAAAAAAAACAAAACUGCCCACCUCGCAAACCAACAGGGUCCAAACGGUUGUACCACAAGGAACGAUUCCACCAGUAAACCCAACGCCUCAAGCAGGCCCUUUCGCUGCUGAAGGUGCAGAGAUACAACCCGCGAACGCACCUCAAACUGAUCUGCCAGCAACCUCUUCACAGGCCCCAACUGCCAGACGGGGAACACCCUCUUUAAAACGUAAGAGGCAACUAUCCAGUUUGGUGAAGCUACAUUCUACCACCCUGAGGUUUCAAGAAGCCAUCAACAAAAACUUAUCCAGAAUAAUUAAAGCCCGGAAGAUUAUCACAGAAACGGUGGAGAGUAUUCAGAAAAUACCACUAUCCGGUCGCAAAGGAGGGUUCCACAGCCGGAAAUGCUCUGAACUUCUGAGAAGCU